rnacentral:tRNA from 1 species
GGUUGUGGCUCAGUGGUAGAGCGCUUGCCUAGCAUGUGUGAGACACUGGGUUCAAUCCCUGGCACCA